CAAUUCAACCCAUCCCUUCCUUUCUUUUUCUCUUUCGGUCUCUCUCUCUCUAUCCCAGCUCUCACUUUCCAUUCCUUCUUUCUCCCUCUGAAAUCUGCAGCCGCCGCCGCCUCUUUCUCCGGCGAGCAGACGCUGCGACGCCGACGCUAUGGCUGUCGCCUCCUUCUCCAUCUCGGCGUCUCUCUCUCCCCCCUAACACGCACACACAGAAAUCAGCACACCUAAUCCUCCCCGCUCUCUCUCACAGCCGCCUCCUCCUUUAAUCCGGCAGCUACGGCCGCCGUCGACCACCUCCAUCUCCUUCCGGCACCGCGUCUCACUCUCUCCUCUCUCUGUUCCCCCCCAUUUUGCCUCUCUCUCUCUCUCUCUCUCUCUCUCUCUCUCCCUCUUUCUUUCUCUCAAAAGGAAAUCCCCAAAUUCCAAAAUCCCUAAAUCUGCCCCCUCCCAUCUCCUUCUCUUGGCUGGACGGUCAACGGCAAAGGCCCGCCACCGCCGCCGACUCCAUCUCGUCUCCCCUCCUCGCUUUCUACUCGCGGUGAGCAGUUACGCGGGCGACAACAGUAGUAACCGCGCCGCCGUGGCGACCACAGCAGCACCGCUGCCUUCGCUUCUCCCUCUCGCUGGGUCAACCGGCAACGGGCUGCCGUUGUCGUUUCCCUUUUUCUCGAUCGGCGAACAACAGCAUCUAACAAGUCGCUGCCGCCAUCUCCGAUUCCCCCUCCCCUGACUCGUCUCCAUUCCCACAACAACACACUCAUGAAAAACAGAUAAGUUCGAUUAAUCUGUAGUCAUUACGUGCACUUGUUUCAAUUCUAUUUACUCUCUAUGACAAUCAUAUAUACAAGAUUCGAUUGUUAUUCGCAUAUGUAAAUUAUCUCUUAUGGGUAAACUGGAGAAUGGUUAUGAAGUAUGCUUUGGCGUAUGAAUAUGAGUGUAUGUUUGAGAAUGGAAGUGAACUGGAGGCAAACCUUUAUGAGAAUUCUGCUAUGAUGUGAAUCUGCAGGGGAAAAAAAAUGUAUUGUAAUCAAGAGCUUUUAUUGAUAACAAGAGGAGGUAGCAGAUUUGAGCUGUGAUGAAUUGGUUCGAUAUUUUGCAGAUAUGAGUUGUGUGUUGGGUGAAGAGUUAAGCUGCUUUGUGCGUGAUCGAAUGGGCGAGAAUGGCUGAAAUUUAUAGAGGAAAUUGGCAGGAAGAAGAAGACGUGGAAGACCCAUUUCCAUUGAAUUAAUAGAAGAAGAUAUGUAUCAAUUUCCAUCCAAGUUUCUGCAUUUCUCACCUUAAAAAAAAUAUGUGUAACUGUAGCAAACUCUGCUGCUCAAGUGACUGCUUUCAAUACUUAUGCUUCUUGUAAAAAAAAUAUAUAUAUAUAUAUGCCUCUAAAACGUAGCAA